AGAAAUUCACAAAAUUUCAAAGAAUCAAGUGACAAAAGGUGGUGAGCAUUCUGGCAAAAGUAAAGAGGUAGUAUCCGAGGAUCCAGAAUUAGAGUAUCCCGAAUUCGAUUCCCAUUACUAAUAUGAUGAGCAAGAUGAAAGGAAGAGAUGAUAGCGAAGGUGAGGAGAAAGUGUCACUCGUACAUGUUGCAGUAAUUUGAAGAUAGCUUGAGCUGUAGAACUUCAAUUAAGGUGAUUUUUGAUUCAUUGGAAAGAUAAGAGAAUGGAAUACAACUUUCAUGUUUAUCAAUUGGCUCAAUUUGGAAUAAAUAAAGGCAAACAUCAUGUUCAAAAUUGGUGGGCAAAUGUAGUUUUGCACUAAAGUAACAUGGUUGGAGUGCCAAAGGCUCAUGGCCACGGCGUUGCAAGUGUUACCACAAUGGUAGUGAACUAUGGCUGCGACGCUGCGUAUUGAGGUUGCAUCAUAAAAAAACUCGAGAGUAUAGUGUUGUGGUGCGGAAAGAGUAGCGUCACGGCACUCCCAAUGCAGAUCACAAUGUCGUAGUGCCACCAACUUUCCAAAAUUGAAAAUUUCAACAAAAAAUUAGAAAGUAGGGUGUUUUGGACAUAUUUAGUUCUUAUUUUGAGAGCAUUAAAUAGAGAGGACGUCAGUAACUUUAUAGAGAUUUGGAGCCAAGAACAAAAUAAGAAAAUAAGAGAAUUUGAGAGAGAUUUGCAAUUAAUCAAGCUUCAACAUUAGUUUAA